rnacentral:rRNA from 1 species
UACAGAGGUCUCAAGCGUUGUUCGGAUUCAUUGGGCGUAAAGGGUGCGUAGGCGGCGCGGUAAGUCGGGUGUGAAAUCUCGGAGCUUAACUUCGAAACUGCAUUCGAUACUGCCGUGCUAGAGGACUGGAGAGGAGACUGGAAUUUACGGUGUAGCGGUGAAAUGCGUAGAUAUCAGGAAGAACACCCGUGGCGAAGGCGGCUCUCUGGGACGGUACUGACGCUGAGACGCGAAAGCGUGGGGAGCGAACAGG